UACGUAGGGUGCGAGCGUUGUUCGGAAUUACUGGGCGUAAAGGGCUCGUAGGCGGCCAACUAAGUCGGACGUGAAAUCCCUCGGCUCAACCGGGGAACUGCGUCCGAUACUGGAUGGCUUGAGUUCGGGAGAGGGAUGCGGAAUUCCAGGUGUAGCGGUGAAAUGCGUAGAUAUCUGGAGGAACACCGGUGGCGAAGGCGGCAUCCUGGACCGACACUGACGCUGAGGAGCGAAAGCCAGGGGAGCAAACGGG
rnacentral:rRNA from 1 species